AUAAUUGUUUUGCAACAUCUAAAAAGUAUGUGUGCACUAUGCAUGUAACAUACAGCGGAUAAAAUCAGUACUGAACACGUAACAACCCAAGUAAUCCAUACAGUAAAUGCACAUUAAACAAAUAAAUUCAUAAAUUAAGUUAUGUGUAAUAAAAUGGAAUGACGGAGGGAAAAAGUACUGAAGUACUAAAAUUGAUUUAAUACUUUGUACAAAAGCCUUUGUUUGUAAUGACAGCUUCAAUAUGCCUCCUGUAUGGAGAAACUGUGAUUUUGGCCCAUUCUUCCACAGAGUCUUCAAAUCUUGAAGGUUCGGUUGGCCUCUUAUGAACUCUGAUCUUUAGUUUUUAUUUUCUAUUGGAUCCAAAUCAGGUGAUUGGUUGCCAAUGGUUAAGCCAUUCUAGCAGCUUUAUUUUUUUUUUUUCUGAAACCAAUUGGCUGUGUUUGGGAUCAUUGUUUUGCUGAAAUUUGUUUCAUCAUUAUCCGGGUAUUGUAGGUGUUGGGACUUAACCAGCUAAUACUAAUUUCCACUAACAAGGGGCAGGAUUGUGUUCUAAUUACUGAUAGAUUUCAGCUGGUGUCUUGGCUUUCCUGGCCUUUUUGUACCUCCCUUUCUUCAUAUGUCCCAUAUAUUUUCUCUAUGUCAUUCCCAUAUUAUUAAGUAGAACUUAAUUUCUGAACAUAUUUGUUUUCUUUCUUUGUAUAUAUGGAUUACUUUGGUUGCUACCAACAUCUGGUGAACAUCAUGUCAACGGCACCUUUAGAAAUAUUUUACUGAGAAAAAUGGUAACGUGUUCAAUACUUAUUUUACCCACUGUAGAUGUAAUCUGGACUCACUAUAUUUUCCAUGUUGACAGAUCACGUGACCUACCAGCAUCAGUUGCGUCGCUUCAGUGCCAACCAUGAAUCCUCUCCCAUGGCCUCAGUGUUUAUAGUAUGCACACUUCAGAAUCUCGCAGGAAAUCUAGAGCAGAGGACAGAAAAUAACUCUCUUAGACGCUGAGUGGGAAGAGUCUUUGGGAGGCUGCAUUUACUUCCGCUUCUAUUUUCAGAGGCCCAUCUCCUCAUCAAGAACUCAUUUUUUUGUCAUCCCAGACUACUCUCUGCAUCCAUCCAUCUUUUACUUAGUUGAUUCCUAUUUGUUUAUGAGUUUCUUCCAGCUGUGAGAAGUUUUUUUUUUGUUUUUUUGUUUUAUUUCAAGAACAUCCUGACCUCCAAAUGUCCUUGUUUUAAAACAUACAGAUGUAGGAUUAUAUAGCACAGAUCAUUAAUUUGAAUGGAAAUCUAUGCAUGGAUGAUUUCAAAAAGAAAUUCGACAGAUUGUUGGUCUUGUGUGGGCAUAUUUUGCAAUGUGCUGUUUGUUAAAGCUUUCGUUAAAAAUAACAAGAAGAGAUGCAGAAUUUUGUUAUUUCCUCUCGCUCUCUUUUUCUCGCUCUCUAUUUCGUUGUCACUUCCGCCCACCCUUCUCAUCCUGCUCUCUUCCUCCCUCUCCAAUUUUUUCGCCCCCACAGAAACUGUCACCUCCCUCCCUUUUCUCUCUCCCUGCUUUUCGCGUGUCUCUCCACAUUGUCACUGUAUUGUUUCUCUCUCCCCACAUUUGCAGAUGUUCCUCAAUUUGCUAGCGAUGCCGAAAAUGAUAUCAGAAUUUUCUGAAGAUUGAUUCAGAAGGCGUGACUUUAUGUCAGGAGACAGUAAAUGCUCCCUCCAUCUCUGUCUCCCUUCUCACA